CAGUAGCCGCGGGAAUACGAAGGGGGCUAGCGUUGUUCGGAUUUACUGGGCGUAAAGGGCGCGUAGGCGGACUGAUAAGUCAGGGGUGAAAUCCCAAGGCUCAACCUUGGAACUGCCUUUGAUACUGUUUGUCUUGAGUUCGAGAGAGGUAAGUGGAACUGCGAGUGUGGAGGUGAAAUUCGUAGAUAUUCGCAAGAACACCAGUGGCGAAGGCGGCUUACUGGCUCGAAACUGACGCUGAGGCGCGAAAGCGUGGGGAGCAAACAGGAUUAGAUACCCCGGUAGUCCCUGUCUCUUAUAC
rnacentral:rRNA from 1 species